GGUUGCUCCAAAGGGUAUAGACCACGUCCACAGAUGCCAUUUUUCGUCCUUGGAUUGAAUUAUCUUCAGAGAAAAUAGCGGUAUGUUCAUAUAGUUAGUUGUCUUAAAUCUAUUUUUCAAAGAACUGAUAAAAGGUUAUAGUAGUGGUUAUAGUUAUAGUAGGAAUUUUAGUAUGGAUGGGAGUUACUCUUUCCUACUUUGUGAACAAUCAAGUCAUGCAUGUGGUGUGCAGUCUCAAUACUAUUUAUUUUUUACCUUUCACGAGUUGACAUGCUUCGUCGAUUAUCACAGAGGGAACCGAGUCCAGUGUUUCGCCCUAUAGAUACAUCAGAAUUUUUCGAGAAUAAAGGUUGAGCAAUAAAGAAUGCCAAAACGUUUUAAAUGCAGAUACACAUAUGAAAACAAUCAAUGCAAAAAAGCGAGCCUAAAAUAAUGGCAGACCGGCGUUGCGACUUGUUCCACAUUGUGUACUCUAAUUUUUGAACCAUUUGGAAUAAAGAUUUCUGGUUUCGGAUUCUUGGAGACAAGUGCAUUUGUCAGGAAACCAUGUUAUCUUAAUGAAACAUAGUAAGGAGUAGACCAUACCGGCCUUAAACGAAGGUAAACAUGAGCUGAACUGUAAAUCAUAAAUGAAUGAAACAUUGUUAAUUUAUAUGACAAUUGCCGAAUGUAACGUACAAUAAUUUACCUUAAUUUGUCCACGUGAAACCAAACAUCUGGAAUUAAUAACAUUAAAUCAAACUCUUCAGGAGGGGGGGGGGGGGGGCAACCUCAACAUUUAAUAAAAACUGAUACAUGUUGUGUGUAUAAUACCUUCCGGCCAUCCCCAUCUAAUGAGCUCUUCAUCUGUGAUUUUUUAAAACGUUUAUUUAUUUUUACUUUAGUUUGCUUCACAUUUUUGCGAUAAUUCUUGAUCGUAAAGGAAGGAAACAUAUAGUAAACUCACUUUCAUGUUUGUCUUCCCCCAUGAACAGUGUCACCGGAGGAUCCACGACUAAAAUAAAAAGCAUACGAAAUUAUUACAAGCACAAUUUAAACUUUCAUCCUAAAAUAUGGAAUGUAAUGCAGUUGAAUUAUGCAUGGAAGGUAAAAAAUUGUUCCUUACUGUUUGACGUGAUAUAAUAAACCAUUCUUAUAUUUAAGCUGCAAUUUCCUACAGAUUCAAAAAAUUAAGUCGCGGUAUUUGGUAAACAAUUGUUAGAAGUUUCAAAGAAACAAAAGUUUAAUCACUAUU